rnacentral:tRNA from 1 species
UAGCUGAGCGGUAAAGCUCUUGGCUUCCAAACCGGGGAUCCCGGGUUCGAAUCCUGG